rnacentral:rRNA from 1 species
GACGAACGCUGGCGGCGUGCUUAACACAUGCAAGUCGAACGGAAAGGCCCUGCUUGCAGGGUACUCGAGUGGCGAACGGGUGAGUAACACGUGGGUGAUCUGCCCUGCACUUCGGGAUAAGCCUGGGAAACUGGGUCUAAUACCGGAUAGGAGCCAUUUUUAGUGUGAUGGUUGGAAAGUUUUUUCGGUGUAGGAUGAGCUCGCGGCCUAUCAGCUUGUUGGUGGGGUAAUGGCCUACCAAGGCGGCGACGGGUAGCCGGCCUGAGAGGGUGGACGGCCACAUUGGGACUGAGAUACGGCCCAGACUCCUACGGGAGGCAGCAGUGGGGAAUAUUGCACAAUGGGCGCAAGCCUGAUGCAGCGACGCCGCGUGGGGGAUGACGGCCUUCGGGUUGUAAACACCUUUCGCUAGGGACGAAGCUUUUUGUGACGGUACCUAGAUAAGAAGCACCGGCUAACUACGUG